GAACGUUCUUCGCUAGAAUUCGGCGCAGUUAUGUGUAAUUCGUGGGUCCCCACUCCCGGCAGAACUAAACCGACAUUUGAACUCAGUCAGUCUGAUUCCCAUUAUUAUUAUUUUUUUUUUGUAAAUAUUGAACACUGACGAUGACUAAAUGAAUAUAUUUUACAUUUAAUUGUUUGGGAGGCAUUUGUCAAAAGCGACGACAGGUGAAGAUCAAAGAGCAGAGUCAGCCCGAGUUACUGAAGAGCAUAUUUCCAAAACUUGUAUUUUUUAUGUUUUUGAGAUCGCUAAUGACCUAACGUUAUAUGCUUCCUCAUCAUAUGUUACAAUACUGGGAACUGAAACUCACUCAGUCCUCAUGAAAUCCAGCGAAGUACUUAAGUUAAAUUUCCCAAAAAAGUACACAGAAAUGGUAUUUACUCACGAUAUAAUAACCACGCAAAAUUAGUAAAAAAAAUGGCGGAUGAAGAAUGUGUUGAAUUUAGUGAAAAUGUUUCUGAGUCAAGGAAAAGGAAAAGACAACCAGAGAAAUGGAAAAAGAAUAUAAAUAAAAGUGCAAAAUAUAAAAAGGAAGGGAAACAGCCUAAAAUUUCGUGUGAACACACUGGAGUCAGAUCUGCAAAAGGACAAAAGAUUGUUUGUCAGGCCAGCAAGCUAACAACAAAAGAUGUCCAGCAGUUCUUCAAUCAACUUUAUGAAAGUGGUAAAGCUGAUCAAGAUGCAUUCUUGCUUCUGCAUCUGUCACCAAGCAUCCCAAAACGUCAAAGAACACGUGCCGACUGUGGUAGAAAAAGACCAAUACAGACUAAGUAUUUCAUUAGAAAAGCAGACAGCGGUUCACCAGUACGUGUAUGUUCUGCUGCAUUCUUAUCAAUAGCGUGUGUUUCACGAUUUCGACUGAACAGACUUGCCAAACAUGCUAUCAGUCAUGGAGGAACUCCUAAAGAACAACGUGGAGGGAAGAAGAUCAAUGAGAUUGAUGAAACAGGAGUUCUACCAACAAUCAACAAAGUUAAAGCUGCAGAAAAGAAAGAUGUUGAAAAGCUGAUGUCUUACUUUGCCAUCUCCAGAAAAGCUAAAGACUUCUAUACCGAUGGUUUGUCAGCAAACAGUAAUAGUUCUGAUGACUUGGAAGCAGACAUCAAUAAUGAUAAAGAAACAUUUUUGUAGUGUGAUAUAGUAUUACAGCCAUUUAAAUCGAUACAUUUUUUUUUCAAGCAUUGAUACUUUGUCAUACUUUACCAUUCUGCGAAUGCCAGAGACAUUGAUAUUUAAUCGGUAAAUGAUAAAAAGUUCAGAUGACUUAAGCAAAGUUACAUACAUACAUCAUUACUGUGAGUUUUAGAAAUUUGCUGUUCAAUUGAAGUUAAGGGUCUUGCUCAAAAGCCUGAUGGCAUCACCCAGCCAGCCGUGGGAAUUUAACUAGUGGGCAGAGAGGCAGAGAGGCACACACACUUGACAGAGGCACUCUCCUGUGAUUUUCACAUACUACAGUGUGGGGUUCACAGGGAAUGGUGGGAACAUAAAAAAAUUAUAAUCCAGUCCAAAAAAGGGCCACCAUGUUAAGUCAGAUGAGAACGGCUAAGCUUGCAUGAUGUGUCCACCUUCCAGUGGUUCUGGAGAAGAAAAUGGUCUGUCUCCACACUUUCCUACUAUUGUAUUUCUAUCUGUCAAUGGUUGUAAAUCUGUUUCUGAUGCAGCAUGUAAUUUUUCUGAUUAUUAAUAGAUUCCGUCAUUACAUACAUAUGGUACAUACUUAAUGUUUUUAUUUAGCCCUGUGUUUGUUUUUAGUAUGCGGAAUCAACCGUUUCAAAAUCAAUCUUAAAAGUAAUGUUACAAAAUUUACCACCAGAUGGCGAUGAUGCACAUUCAUGAACACUUCUGGGUAUUCAUUUUACCUUCCCCUGUCAGUUUUGCUUUAGGAAUUCUAAAUGACAAAUGUUACUGUUCAGUGCACUAUAAAAUACCCAUAAUGCAUAGUGUACAGACGAUGUACCCUAGGAUACUCCUAUAUACCACAAUGCAAUGCUAAGCUGACGUCUACUGUCAACUGACCUCUCGCAAUGCAAACAAGAUGGCGCGAGAGGGUAGCUAUGAAAAUGUGAGCACAUUUUUUUUUAUCUUAAAAUGGGACUGGUAAUACCGAUCUCUGCAAAGACUGAACAACAAUAAUUAAUAGUAACACAAUAAUCCAUUCAUCUUUCAACUUGGUCACCGCCGCGGGUAAAAUUUAAUGAUAAUAAUUUAAAAUUAAUUAUAGAUUUACACAUCCGUCUCCUUUAUUCCGUUUAUGUUAUCGAUAUAUUUUAUUUGCAAAUGUCAGCUUUCAGAGGUUGCUAGGAGACCAACACAGAUCGUCUUGGAAUUUAGUCUCUGAAAAUGUCGACUUGUUUCACUUAUUCCCAGCAUCGUUAGCUGUAGAUUUUCCUCUGUGGAGACCAGUAAGUGAGUAAACCAUUUCGAAUACAUCCUUGGGCUAUAUGGCAAGUAAAGAGCAGACGCAAUGCACAUAGUGUAUCCAACAGCAGACCCCUACACAGACAUUUUGGGGGCAGUAGCUGACGCCAAAAAGGCCAACCCCCUCCUCCCUGGUGCUAAAUAGCUGCCCCAAGCAGUAGGCCUAUUAUAAUGUAUCUUUUUGUUAAUCAAAUUUCACACGUAUUAUUGCUGUUUCCAUGCAGUGAAAUGGCGAAAAUAAUGUUGCAGUCUGCAAACUGGGUGCAAAGCAUCAGUUAUGUUAGCCCCGGGUUCUGUAUUUGAAGAGACAUAUGGAUUUUGAUUUUAAUUGAAAGCUUUCAGAUUCAAAUUAAAAUCGUCAUUGCAUUGUCAGACACUACCAACACAUUAUGGUUUGGUUUCAGGUCAUACUGUGUGGUUUUAUGAAUGGACGAGGGAAAUUUAAAAAUGAUAAUGACAAAACAGUUAGCAUUUGUCUAAGGUACAGAAAUUGAUGGUAAUUAUAUGGGUAACAAAAGUGUAUUGUGCUUUUCAAAAAUUCAAAAUGUUCAGUACCAACAGGGACGGCAAAUAUAAAAGACUAUUAUUUUGGAUUCCUUAGGAACAUAGAAUUAUAUAAACACUGUAUAUUUUUGUAUUAUUUGUAUUUUCCGUGCAGGAAAAUGAACAAAACAAAAGAAGCAUACUCAAGAGAUAAACUGGUGAAUUUUACAAAUAAUAUGAGACAAAGCUACCUUUUUUUAAAUUGUGCAUUUUAGUCAUUUUAUCCCAGAAAGUUCUAUAUAAUUUUAUUCAGUCUUAGACUCUGCUGUUUAUUCAAUCAUUUAAAAUCAAUAUCAGACCAUACAUAUGGAUGAGUAAAAUGCACCAGAUGUUCCACAAUCUGUGAAGUUUCUUCUGUUCUGUUUAUUAGCAGCAUGACCAACGAUCCUCCUGAUGAAAAUAGAGGGGACAGCUGGAGGUGCAGAGGAACAAUGUAAAAUUUAAAAAAGUGCAUAAUUACUUGCAAAUAGGGAUCAUCCGGUCUCCAUAUAUAUUAUUUUUGUUGUUGCUUUCACUUGGGUCAAAGUAUUUAAUAAAUACAUAUUUUGUAAGCAGCAUUUAUAUGUAGAAAAUAAAAAUAAGAACAAUU